GGAGGAGGCAGGUAGCUGGGUCCAGGGACAGGCAGAAGGUCAUACACAGGAGGAGGCAGGUAGCUGGGUCCAGGGGCAGGCAGAAGGUCAUACACAGGAGGAGGCAGGUAGCUGGGUCCAGGGGCAGGCAGAAGGUCAUUCACAAGGGGAGGCAGUUAGCUGGGUCCAGGGGCAGGCAGAAGGUCAUACACAGGAGGAGGCAGGUAGCUGGGUCCAGGGGCAGGCAGAAGGUCAUACACAGGAGGAGGCAGGUAGCUGGGUCCAGGGGCAGGCAGAAGGUCAUACACAGGAGGAGGCAGGUAGCUGGGUCCAGGGGCAGGCAGAAGGUCAUACACAGGAGGAGGCAGGUAGCUGGGUCUAGGGGCAGGCAGAAGGUCAUACACAGGAGGAGGCAGGUAGCUGGGUCCAGGGGCAGGCAGAAGGUCAUACACAGGAGGAGGCAGGUAGCUGGGUCCAGGGGCAGGCAGAAGGUCAUACACAGGAGGAGGCAGGUAGCUGGGUCCAGGGGCAGGCAGAAGGUCAUACACAGGAGGAGGCAGGUAGCUGGGUCUAGGGGCAGGCAGAAGGUCAUACACAGGAGGAGGCAGGUAGCUGGGUCCAGGGGCAGGUAGCUGGGUCUAGGGGCAGG
ensembl:lncRNA